AGAUGGACCAACAUAUUUCUCUAAUGAUUCUAAGAAUCAUUCUAGUGAUGACAUUGGCUACAAAAAGAAGUUGUAAUGCUUCUCAAAUAAUAUAUAGGGGAUAUGUCUCUUGUUUUCAUUUGUAUAAACAUAAACUACAAAAGUUAAUUAUUUAGGGAAGGGUUUUCAAUAUCCCAGAUUAUUCAAUGGCCCUCACAACAAUUUACUUUGUUUCUUAUAGAAGUUGUCUACCAAAGAAGAAAUUGUGAACCGUGUGUGUGACAGAAAGGUGUCGUAGAAAACAAAAGAGAGGAAAGAGAAACGAUUCUCUCUCUUCAACCUUCACCGUAAAACUCUAGCCACCGCUUUAUUUUUCCUGCUUAGUAGAGUCGACGACAGCUUUAAUUGCCACCGGUCCCCUCCCAUCUGGCCCAUGUUUGUCUCACUUAUAUCCACAAUUUCUUUCAUCUUACGUCGCAACCUUCGUGUCGAACAGCCUAAAGAAAGACGGGGUGUGUGUCUUUCUUCUCUAAAGUGUGGAUGAAGUCGUGAUCGUUUACAAAGCCCGGUGUCCUUGUUUCUCUGCCUCCUCCGAUCGUCGGCGUCAAAUAUGGGUCAAAUCUGAACCCAAGACUAGGUGAUUUUCUUGGAAGCGUCGAUGCCUCAUCUCUCACCCCCAUCGUCUUAUUACCUGACAGUCUCUGUGCCGCGGAUCUCCAAGGUUUGUAGAGCCUCUGAGUUCCUCAGAGAGCGGCAUAGUGGUGGUAAUCCUUUGAGGGCCUCUUCGUCUAGCAUAAAGUUUCAACUUCCGUUGUAUUUCUCCUGUUUUGGCUUGUUCUCUCUCCCCUGUGCUUAGAAGGUUUAGAUGUUUAGGAUCUUUGAGGACGAAUCCGAUGUGUCAUUCACGUUUCCGGAGAAUUUGUACCGCAUGCAUUUGAUCUUAGCUAUUUCUCGUGUCUCACAGAAGUGUUGACAUCUGAGUCUUGUUCAGAAGAGAGCUCCUUGAGAGGUCAACGGAUUUGGUUUCAACGGAGUCUUCAUUAGCUUGCAUCGGAGUGGAAUGCCAGGCCCUCUGUCACCGCAGCUUGAGGGACCUUUAGGUUCAUCUCCGGAAAAUCAUCUCUGUGUAGCCUACUCCUUGUUUCUCUCAGUUCGCGUCCAGCUUCUUGGAAGUGUUGGUGGAAAACAUAAUUUGAUUUUGGCGCUUUUCUUGUAGUUUUAAGUUUCUUAUAUUGAAACUAGAUUCGUUCUUAGAUUGUUGCUAUGAGUUUUUUUAUAUUUUUUGCGGCUCAUUUCAUCGGACCAGCUUUUAAACAGACGAGAUUGCAAUCUCUUUGUAAUUAGACAUUUAUUAACUUGUUAGUGAUA